GAUUCAUCCCAGGCCAGGCGAGUGGAAAAGUACUAGCCGCGCGCGAGGGGCGGGGGCGCGCCGAGGGGCGGAAAAGUACAGACGGCGGAGCAGCGGAGAACAAAGAUGAUGCCACCGCUGUGCUACGGUCGUCGAGGCCCCCUACUCCGGCAGAUUUCAACCUGCUUUCACUCUUCAAAACUAGCCAGAGGUCGGUGAGCAGCUCCUUUUCGGGAUGUGCUUUUUGUACGGCCAUGGAAAACUGGACUAGCGGAAAGGCUAGCUUUUGGCCAGCAAGCCAGACCCCUUAGAAAGAGGCCCCAGUGGGGAGCCCGGCGUUCCUAAGGCCGUUUGGGAGUCCCCAGUUUUCCAUUCGCUGACACGUUGCUUCUCUUAUCCCACCACCGCCGCCCCCGGCAAAGGCACUGCCUUGUCUGAAUGCGGGUCUGAGGCGCUUUCUGCGGAGCCUGGUCCUUUCCCUUCAAUGGUGAUGUGGUCUUGCUGAGCUAGGCAACUAGGGGGCCCCUUCGCUGUGGAAAAAUUGGUGCUGCGGGAAAGGCAAGACUCACUCCCUUGCUGGAAACAAAGACCCCUUAGGAGAGAGAAAUGUUCAUGGAAUGAAUGAAUAAACAAGUUUGACCUA
rnacentral:antisense_RNA from 1 species